GUCGCUCCUACCGAUACCGGGUGCUCCGGUGAACCUUUUGGACCGUCCGCGGAAAUAAACGUAAACCAUAUCACCUAGAGGAAGGAG
rnacentral:rRNA from 1 species